rnacentral:rRNA from 1 species
CUAUGCGCCUUGCCAGCCCGCUCAGAAACUUAAAUGAAUUGACGGGGGCCCGCACAAGCGGAGGAGCAUGUGGUUUAAUUCGAUGAUACGCGAGGAACCUUACCUGGGCUUAAAUGCUUAAUGACGUACUGGGAAACUGGUAUUUCUUCGGACAUUUUGCAAGGUGCUGCAUGGUUGUCGUCAGCUCGUGCCGUGAGGUGUCGGGUUAAGUCCCAUAACGAGCGCAACCCCUAUUGUUAGUUGCCAUCAGGUCAUGCUGGGGACUCUAACAAAACUGCCCGCGUAAGCGUGGAGGAAGGUGGGGAUGACGUCAAAUCAGCACGGCCCUUACGUCCAGGGCUACACACGUGCUACAAUGGCCGGUACAGAGGGCAGCCACUUGGUGACAAGGAGCAAAUCUCAAAAGCCGGUCUCAGUUCGGAUCGGAGUCUGCAACUCGACUCCGUGAAGUUGGAUUCGCUAGUAAUCGUAGAUCAGCAAUGCUACGGUGAAUACGUUCCCGGGCCUU